UGUUUCCUAUGGUGAAGCAGAAUUCACUAAGCGCUGAGUUACUCACCCACUAAUAGGGAAUGUGAGUUGGGAUUAGACCAGCGUGCGACAGGUU
rnacentral:ncRNA from 1 species